rnacentral:lncRNA from 1 species
AUGAGUUCGGUUCUGAUGUAUAGGAACUUAAGAAUAUCUAAAUAACAAAUAUAUCUGAACAUAUAUUUGACUUUCCCCUUGAAAAUAACAGCUAGAAAAAGGGACCCUUUGUGUGAAGAACCAAAGACGAAUACUAUUAUUAUUUUCUAUGAAAAAAGUUUGAAUAAGGGAGGUGAGUAUGAAAUAGAAAGAUAGAUGGAAGCUAAAGAAGCAAGGUUUAUAUAAGGUUUUUUUUCUUUUGGUUCACAUAUGGAGUACUAUAGUAUUAACAAAUAGGGUCAUUUAUUGAGGAUGGCACAUAACCAAAUAGUUUGAUUCAGAGCUUACAAAAGCAAGGUACUUUGGGAAAUGACCAAUUACAAAUUGUAUAUGAUUAAAUAUAUCCACAUUUUUAUCAGAAUUUUUUUUAAAUAGAAUACCACGAGUCAGAAGAAGUUGGCCGGUUAAUAUUAACUAUAGACCUGCGAGGACAUUGGUUUUUACAUUUUUAUACAUUGAUAUUUGUUUUUCAUAAUUAGUGUCAUAUAUUUU